UGCGCAGACGGCUGAGCAAGUUGGACGUGAAAGCCUGGGGCUCAACCCCAGAAUUGCGUUCAAAAACUACUCGGCUCGAGUAUGAGAGAGGGGAAGUGGAAUUCCUGGUGUAGAGGUGAAAUUCGUAGAUAUCAGGAGGAACACCAGCGGCGAAGGCCGGCUUCCUGGCUCAUUACUGACGUUCAGGCACGAAAGCGUGGGGAGCAAACA
rnacentral:rRNA from 1 species